rnacentral:rRNA from 1 species
UACGGAGGGUGCAAGCGUUAUCCGGAUUCACUGGGUUUAAAGGGUGCGUAGGUGGGUUGGUAAGUCAGUGGUGAAAUCUCCGUGCUUAACAUGGAAACUGCCAUUGAUACUACUGGUCUUGAAUUUUCUGGAGGUAAGCGGAAUAUGUCAUGUAGCGGUGAAAUGCUUAGAUAUGACAUAGAACACCAAUUGCGAAGGCAGCUCGCUGGGACGUAACUGACGCUGAGACGCGAAAGCGUGGGUAUCAAACAGG